AGUCACACCGUCCCUGAGACACUCUCACACAGUGCCAAAUGGAUCGCGUGCUUAUCCACUAACAUCCCUCUCACCGUCUCAAGCACAAUCUGACACACAUCACACUCCCCACAGUCCUCGCUGCCCCUGCAGAGGACACUUGGACACACACACGACCGUGAAGUGAGCGUCACACCCUGAACCCUCUUGAGCAUCAACCAGGUUGUUACGGCCACUGCGUUCGGGCCAGAGCUCUGUCUGCGACACCUGGACCCCACCUCCUGGCCUUCUGCAGCCUUUUCAGCCCUGGACUACAUUUCUCGGAAGGCAUCACUCAACCUCUGGUAACCUCUCUGGGAUUUUCUGGAACCUCUGGGGAGUCACUUGAGUAAAACGAAAUAGGUCGGCUCACACCGCAGUACCGUGAGACCCACAGUUGGAGCAAGGGAGCCUCAGGGCUCGCCCAAUUCCGGACCGCAGGAGGCGGCCACUGCCUCUGGAUUCUGCUGCAUCAGGACGGUUCGUGCUUUAAACUACAUUUCCCGGAGGCCACCGCGUCCCUGCGCCAUUUGCUACACUUUCUCCCUUACGCUUGGCGCAAGGAUCCGGUCUGCAGCGGCCAGCCCUGGCCUCUCUGGACUCUGCACAUCUCCAGGAGAGGAACCCAGAAAAUUCAUCAGUUCUGACAGUUCUAAAAACCAUGCCCCAUUGGUUGGUGACUUUCAGGGAUGUGGCCAUCGACUUCUCUCAGGAAGAGUGGGAGUGCCCGGGUCCUGCUCAGAGGGACUUGUACCAGGAUGUGAUGCUGGAGAACUACAGCCACCUGAUCUCACUGG